GAACGGCAGCACAGCAGUAGCAAUACUGUGGGUGGCGAGUGGCGGACGGGUGAGUAAUGCAUCGGGACCUACCUGAACGUGGGGGAUAACGUAGGGAAACUUACGCUAAUACCGCAUACGUCCUACGGGAGAAAGCGGGGGACCUUCGGGCCUCGCGCGGUCAGACGGACCGAUGUUCGAUUAGCUAGUUGGUAAGGUAACGGCUUACCAAGGCGACGAUCGAUAGCUGGUCUGAGAGGAUGAUCAGCCACACUGGAACUGAGACACGGUCCAGACUCCUACGGGAGGCAGCAGUGGGGAAUAUUGGACAAUGGGCGCAAGCCUGAUCCAGCAAUGCCGCGUGUGUGAAGAAGGCCUUCGGGUUGUAAAGCACUUUUAUCGGGAGCGAAAUACCAUUGGCUAAUAACCGAUGGGGCUGACGGUACCCGAGGAAUAAGCACCGGCUAACUUCGUGCCAGCAGCCGCGGUAAUACGAAGGGUGCAAGCGUUAAUCGGAAUUACUGGGCGUAAAGGGUGCGUAGGCGGUUUGUUAAGUCUGUCGUGAAAUCCCCGGGCUCAACCUGGGAAUGGCGAUGGAUACUGGCAAGCUAGAGUGUGUCAGAGGAUGGUGGAAUUUCCGGUGUAGCGGUGAAAUGCGUAGAGAUCGGAAGGAACAUCAGUGGCGAAGGCGGCCAUCUGGGACAACACUGACGCUGAAGCACGAAAGCGUGGGGA
rnacentral:rRNA from 1 species